UAAUGUAUUUUAAGCAUCGCAGGAAACCUCUGACUUAUUUCUUCAUCUUCGGCGCUCGCAUCUCUUAAAUAGCUGAUGAGCAUAGUUUUACACAUAUUUGCUUGCAUAUUAUUGCGUAUGUUCUUAGCAAUUAUUGUGCUUUUAUUCCCAGAUCACCCGUGUUUUGUGUUUUUUUGCAUUUCAAGAACAUUUAUAGGACCAUCAUCGGUGUUUAAGCAAUUAUAGAUCAAUACGUGCGGAAACAGACGAGAAUUCAUCAAGAUCGGACAAGAGCCCGCGUUGCACACAUUGAGCACGGCCUGAGUCAAGGCCGUGCUGACCAUCACGGCCUAGACUCUGGCCGUGACCAACCAUCAAAACUUGGUCUUCAAAACAAUAGUUUGGGCACGAUUUCCGUAGCCACCACGGCCUUCAGCACGGCCCGUGGUGGAUAACACGGGGAGCAACACGGCCCGUGGUAGCCAACACGGGGAGAAACACGGCCGUGGUGAAACCCUAGUUGGUGAGAUCCAUAGUUUCAGCACGGCAUGGACUCCGGCCGUGCUGACCAGCACGGCCUUGACCACGGCCGUGCUGAGUUAAAUAUAUAAGAAAAAAUGAAUUUUUCUGAGAAAAAGAGGGGAGAGGGAAAAAGAGUGACAUUGAGCCCUAGUGGCUAGUUCGGUUUCUGCACAAUACUGAGUGCGAGAGAAAGUUGUAGUGAGUAAGAAUCCCGGAAUCGUAAGAUUCCGAGUGCAAAACAGUAGUGGAGCAAUUCAAGAGGCAGUUUGGGAGAUUAAUCAAAGUGUAGAUCCAGAUUUGGAGCUGUUCAUCCAAUUCGAGAUAAAAGGGUGUACAUGUUUUAUUUUCAUUAUUCUUUCAUUGUAAUUGAUUUCCUAGAUUGUUUUAAACAUGAACAUGUUUAGCUAGACUGAUUUAAUCCAUUGGGAUUUCUUUACUAUGUUGGCUUGAUAUUAUAUUGUUGGAUUGUUUGAGUUGGUUUUGUAUUCUUCUUGUUUUCAGUAUUAAUAAAAUAAUGCAUUAUUCAUGAGACGUUGUGAAUUGUGAUGUUUAGAUUGCUUUAUGAGAUUGAGAAAUCCGUUUGGCAAUUGGAACUUUGAAUAACAAGAACUGGUUAAUAAUCGCUUAGAGAUAAGGAUAAUUAACUAGCCGGAUUAAGAAUUAACAAAGCUUAAUAGAGGCGGAUUAAAGCUUAACGCUAAUUUAAGAAUCAAUCGUUAGGAAGAGAUUCCAACUUUAGGUUAUUAGGUUUAAGAAUUCGGUUAUCUCGAGAGAGAAACCGAAUUCGGUUAAGAAUUCGUCCACGGGUAGCAUAAUUAGACUCACCGAUCCUUUAUCUUUUGUUUGAUUGCCAACUAGUUUAGAUUCCCUUUGGGUUUGUCUUCUUGUCUUGAUUAUUUCACUUAUCAAUUACUCCUGCAUCUCCCUUAGGACUUAGCUUGUAGUUAAUAGUUAGUUUAGAAUUUAUUCAUCAUCCAUUUUAGGUUAAUAUAACAAAGAACAAAGGAGUAACUCUGGGCUUUCGCUUUCCCGAGGAAUACGACCUUGAUACUCGCCAUUAGUGCUAGACUGCAUCGAUAGGUACACUGCCUUAGAUUGUAGCUAACACGAGUAGCACCCAUCAAGCAUCGCAGGAAACCUCUGACUUAUUUCUUCAUCUUUGGCGCUCGCAUCUCUUAAAUAGCCUUGACCUUGUUUAGGUUGAUCUCUACGCCUUGGUGACUCACUAUGUACCCUAACAGCUUCCUUGAUGUAACUCUGAAUAUUGCUCUUCUUCAGGUUGAGUCUCAGAUUAUACCUUUCCACUCAUUCUAAAAACUUAUCAAGAGCUUGAAAGUGUCUUUCC
rnacentral:lncRNA from 1 species